AACGAACGCUGGCGGCAGGCUUAACACAUGCAAGUCGAGCGGGGUGAUGGUGCUUGCACUAUCACCUAGCGGCGGACGGGUGAGUAAUGCUUAGGAAUCUGCCUAUUAGUGGGGGACAACAUUUCGAAAGGAAUGCUAAUACCGCAUACGUCCUACGGGAGAAAGCAGGGGAUCUUCGGACCUUGCGCUAAUAGAUGAGCCUAAGUCGGAUUAGCGAGUUGGUGGGGUAAAGGCCUACCAAGGCGACGAUCUGUAGCGGGUCUGAGGGGAUGAUCCGCCACACUGGGACAGAAGCACGGCCCGGACGUCUACGGGAGGGAGCAAUGGGGAAUAUUGGGCCAUGGGCGCAAGCCUGAUCCAGCCAUGCCGCGUGUGUGAAGAAGGCCUUAUGGUUGUAAAGCACUUUAAGCGAGGAGGAGGCUACUUUAGAUAAUACUCUAGGAUAGUGGACGUUACUCGCAGAAUAAGCACCGGCUAACUCUGUGCCAGCCGCCGCAGUAAAAC
rnacentral:rRNA from 1 species